GAGAAUUUGCCGACAGAAAGGUUAUUUUAGUUUAGUUUAUAAACCACUGAAAUGAGCGACGGACAAAGUGACAGACACAAUCAAAUUUGUGCCUGUCAAAACACUACAAAUCGCGUAUUUGUGCCGGUCAAUGACCGUGACCGGACGCUUAUUUCCAGGCUUGCUCUUAAUACAUGAGUUUGAUUAUUCCUGGACUCAAAUAAAAUGGAUUUGUUGAGGAACAAGGCAGUUCUAUACAGUGUUGAUUUAUAGGGGGUUGUAAACUUCAGUUGUACUUUAUUUGAUUCUUUUGGCAAACUGAUUGUGGCUUUUAACAGCACAUUUGAACUUUGGAACAAAUAUUGUGAUUUUAAAUUUUAACUUUUCCAACUUUAAAACAAACAGUUGGGGUCUAAAUAAGCUAGCAUAUUGUCUUUACCUUUUUACAAAGUGGAAUUGUUUGAAUACGGAUGAACUGAAGCAGCAAGACUACAUUACUGUACAGUAUACUGAGUUUUGGGGGUAAUGUGAGAUAGUAAAACUAAAAGAAAAGUGAUAGUCACACACAGCAAAGAAAACCACAACCAGACGAAGUUGAUGUUUUUCGGAAUAUGUUAAUUUACGGCAAAGAAAAAAACAAUGAAAAGUAUUCAAAAGUGUAUAAUUGUUUGGUAAAGUGUGGUUACAAUUUCAUAAAUAACCACUUUCAGCCAUUAGGGUUUCAAAACUUCUUGAACAAAAUAAGUUAUAAUGCAAGGAAAAGCUAAUGAUUGUACUGUCAGACCAUACAAUCUCAAACGGUUGGUGCCAGUAUAGGUAGCAAUGAUAAGUAAAUAACAAAAACAUUAGCGAUAUGUGGGAAUUGGAAUCACAUGAAAAUAUAUAGCAGUAAAUAGUUGUACAAAGCUGACACAUAUACAAUCUGAGCAAACUUGAAACAAAAUUUAUUUGUCUUUAUGACAAACUAUUAUACAUUAAUUUCACUAAAGUCAAAUGCCUGACAGACCUUUCAUAUUUUAUUCAAAGAAUUUUCAGAUAAUUUCAGGACUUACUGUAAUUGAAUACACCCUUGUGGUAAUUAAUCUAAAUCUCAAUUUUUGGUACGGGAGCUUCGUUCCCAUGCCCAAUUUGCUAAUCAUUUGCCUUUGUUCUUCAUGACUAAUGGCAGAGAGCACCAGGCUCUCAUGGUUGUAUACUAGAAUGUCUUUCGAAUUAAAAAAAUAUUUUCAUUCUGGUCUAAGACAAAAUGUUAAUCCAAGACUAACAUGUUGUAAAACAAAAAUACAAGUCAAAACAAGUAAAUAAUUUUUAUUUUUGAGCUUAUGAGAUACUCUAUGAAAUAUUUUUUGUUUUAACUUUUUAUUGUCUGAUUGUGGUUAAUUAAUUCAUGUUUGGCAAUUGAAAUUACCAUAAUUUGUUAAUUUUCAUAUUUUCGUUUCCUUGGCUUCAGUUCAACUUUCAAAUAGUUCCACUUUGUAACAGUAUGUUAUAAUAGUCAUAAUAAUAAUAUAAGAAAACAGGUUUACAUGGCUUUUGAACAUGGUCUUUUCAACCAGUAAGUAAAGGUAAGUUUAUACUUCAAAGAGGUACAUGUGUUUUUUUCUAACCUGACAAGAUUACUAUCAAAACUUAACUAAAAUGCCAUCUUUAUUUCGUGGUCAAAAUUUCUGCUCAACAAAUAAUUUCAUCUGUUUAACCAGUAUUUUUGUUUGGUUUGUUUUAACGUUCAUACUACAAUUUGAUGAAAGUGCAAUAUGAUAUUUUGUUUUUUGGAAAAGAACUUAGGGAUUGUAUGGAAAUUUUUUUUAAUUACCAAAAGCACUAUAUUAUAUUCGGUGGUCAAAGCUGUCCUCGUAUAGGGUUUCGAGCUAUUUUAGUCAAAUCUGUCUAGUUUUAGUUUUGAGUAGCAUCGUCAAUAUUUCUAUACCUUAAACUCUUGUUUUGAAUUAUAUAAAUUAUAAGUUUUUAUUCCAAAUGAAGAGUUUGCCCAUUCAACAAUACAACAAAAUUUGUUUGAAGAUUUUAAAACUUUAUUCAACCAUGCAGAUUCUGUGUACUACAUAAUCUGUGUAUUAUAUGUUUUCAUCAAAAAUAAUUCCUGAAGCUUAAAAUUUUUUCAAUAUUUUUUCUAGAAAAUGGGUUGCUAAAAAUUGUAAAGUAAACUAGCGUUUUGUAUCUAAAGACUAUAUAAGUCUGAUAUAUUUAUUAUUGCAUUUACCAACGUCCCUAGCCUAUAUAGGGACAAGCAAUGUUGUACCAAUGUUUGGUUUUCAUGAAUGAGUAUAUUUCUUUAAAAAUCAAUACAUGAUGUUUGUG
rnacentral:lncRNA from 1 species